GCCAAGAUUGCUUGUGGUGGCUA
rnacentral:siRNA from 1 species